CGGUUUAAAUGCUGUUUAAAGCAGAAAAUGAAGUAAACCUUAUUAAAAAAAUAAAAUGAAUAAAAAUCACUUCAACGUACUCCAUUCAUAUUCUGUCUGUUAGAAAACCAGGAGUCUGUAUAAUAAUCAGAAACAUCAGCUUUUGGCGUUUUGUACUUCCUUCAGUCUGCAAUAAUGACGACCACACACACUUUACACAUUUGACCUUUUUAUUGUAGGAUUCACACGUAUAAUAAAUUCACAUUUAUUUCAGCAAUUUAGCAAACAUCAGAGAAAUAAAAGGCAAUGUACACUUCAAUACACUCGAAUUGCUGUAAAGCACCAGACUUCCUGAAUGUUCCUCCACCCAUCAGAGAGAACCUCCUGUUUCACACCAGCACACACUCGUAGCUUCACUCCUCCCCCUGACUGACUGACAUUAACAUGUUAUUAAUAUGCAAACAGGUGGAAGCACGGAUACGUACAGUUCUCUCUCACUACAGGGACAUACUGGAGUUUUUCUACAAUUGAAAGAUUUACAGAUGUUCAUAUGAUCUCUGUGUACGCACGCCUGAAAGCUGACACGCUACAGAUUCUCACCAGCUUUUAGUCAUGCUCGUAUGUUAAAACCCCAUCAUGAUAUUACGUGAGAAAGAAGAUACAAGGGAGUCUGACCAUGGUGGAGCUCGCCGGCGAUUCUCACGUCCCCAGGGGGUUAACACACCUUCCAUAAAAAGCAGGUAGUGUGUUCUACAGCCAUGUUUCAUAUUUACUGUAAUAAACUCACAUUCCAUGCAAGUAGCUUUAAUUUGUUAGCAUACAUUAGUGAUGUAUAUUUACCUUCAGUAAGCGACAUCGUCAUUAUAGAUUUAACAAGCAACUGUCUGAAUGCUCUCCAUCCACUUUAAUAAGAACACCUGCUCACUGAAUGUAGCUAUUCAAUCAGCCAACGAUAAGGCAGCAGCACAAUGGAAGAGCUACAACAGCUGAAGACCUCAGCAGGUUCCUCACCUAUUAGACAGGAACAGGAAUCUGAGGCUUUCACGGGUGCACUCCCCCCCCAUACACACAGCUGAAGACUGGAAAAAGACCAGGUUAGUGUAUUCUCGCUAAUCUUCAGCUGUGCCGUUUGGGCGAGUCUGCACCCACGAUAGAUCCAGAGUCCUGUUCGUGUGGUCUUCUGCUGUUGUCGUCGUCGUCGUCCAUCCACUUCAAGGUUCAACGUGUUGUGCGUUCUACACUAAAGUCACAUCCUCUAAUAAACUCGGCACUAGUUUCUCAGCUGUUUCAUGCAAACGAUCCGAUUUUCCACGAACAUUGCAGGUAUUAAAGAGUUUGCUGUGCGAACUGAAGUCAAUCUCCUCACCGUUUCUUUCAUUCGUAACAUUACUGUUCAACGGGUAAGAGUUAGUAAUGCCGCAGUACACACGGUAGGUGGCGAAAUACAGCGAGCGCGGGGGCAGUACAACUCCAGGUGUGUACGCGGACCAGGUCGCGGGAGCCGACGCAGAUCUAUUCUACACUAAAACUCUUUUUCCUGGUACGGAAAUGAAACUGCGUCAGAGUACGGUUAGUUGGAGUUUUUAUUUAUUCUUUUAAAAAGGUUAUGUUGAGGUAAGCCGAAUACUCUAAUAAUAAUAACGACUACACUUCGUGUUGUUUUGAGGAAGUGACGGGCUUCAGUCUUAACAGGUAGCUGACGACACGGUGCUAACAAAAGAUGGCGGCGGAGGCCGGAAGUGAACGCAGUUCACUCCUUCCACUUCCGGGGCGAACCCAAGCGCGCGGUUAACAUUUUCCGACUAGCGUGAACGGCAUAAUGUCCGGUGAAACGCGUGAGAAAAGUAGACAGCCGACAAAAGCUGAACGUUUUGAGUAUAAACUUACCUGUUUGUAGUCUCAAAAGCUACAUGAGCUAAUGCUAAUAAAACUAUUCACCUUUUUUUAUUUGCGCGUGCGAAUGAGGUAAAUGUACAUCGCUAAUGUAUGCUAACAAGUUAAAACUAAUUCAAUACACUUCGUUUAAAUAAAAAUAAACCAAUAAAUCUGCAUGGUAAUGUGAACGCCGAGCAUUUGUUCAAAACACACAACAUGCACAAAAAUACACAUACGUAGUUUCAGAAACUGCAGGGAACCUCUCAAAACUCACGCGCAGGAAAAUGACUCUGUACUAAACAGAAAAAUAUAAAAGAUAUAUAUAUAAGGUAUAUAAAAGAUAUACCGUAAAAAUGAUAGAAAAGCUGUUUCUUAAAUCCGAUGUACAAGUUUUACAAUUUUAAUUACUUUUAAAAUAGAUAGAUUAAUCGAGAUUAACACUAGCGACACAAAAAAGCAUGCGCACGUCUCUGGAGAGAAAAGCAGAAAGGGGCGCUUCUUCGUCUUCUGUUUGUUUUUACCACCUGAAGGUGCAUUACCGCCACCUACGGGACUGGAGUGUGGCCGGCAGACUGGCAGGAAAAUGAUGAUGAUAAUAAUAAUAAUAAUCAUAAUAAUAAUAAUAAUAAUACAUAAAUAAAAAACAAACUAUAUACUAGGUAUUCAUACUAAGUUAUUAAAGUCUCUCACUUAUCCCAGUAUUUUUAGAUUGUUCAUUAGGGGGCGGUGCAUUUCCCCAGAUGUUUUCCCCAGCAAGUUCUCUAGUGUCAUGUUUUGUUUUCCAAUCUGCAUCUCUAGCUCAGUCCUUUCCUCCUCAUACCUUUUGCAGUCUAACAGUAUGUGUUUCACCGUCUCUUGUGUACUGCAGUGUGUGCAGAGUCCAGUGGGGUGUUUUCCUAUUCUGUUUAAUGCUAGAUUUAAUCCAGCAUGCCCUAUUCUAAGACGCGUAACUAUCAUCUCUUCCUUUGGGUUCCUGCCCUGCCUCACACUCGUGCCUACUUGUUUUUGUAUGGUAUGUAGGGGUCGUCCGGUGUCAGCUGUGUCCCAGUGUUCCUGCCGUAUUUUAUGCUCUUGUCCCUUUAUAAUGGUUUUGAUCUCUGCUCUACUUAAUGGUACUUGUAUAUCAACUGUUUCAUGCUUUAUAGAUCGUUUUUCCAGUACAUCCACAGUUUCAUUUCCUUCUACCCCUACAUGUGCAGGAACCCAGAAGAAGGGAACACUCAGCCCCUUAGCAUGAAGUAUGAGAAGCAGAUAAAGUAUUUGGUAGACAAUGUCUUGUCUGCAUGAUGUUUUCCCAGACUGUAUGCUUGAUGGUGCUGAUAGACUGUCAGAAGCUAUAGCGACAUCUUGGUUCUGAUUAUUUUUUCCCAAAAACUGCAGUGCCAAUAGGACUCCUAACAGUUCUACAGUGUACACUGAUAAAUGAUCGGUCACCCUUUUUUGACCGCUACUUCAUACCGGGGAAUGAAAAAAGCCGCACCGUUGCGGCCAGUCUCAGGCUGUUUUUACCCGUCUGUAUAUAUGAGUAAUUUAUUGUGAUACUGGUCCAUAUAGUUUUGAGUUAUCCCUUGUGGUGCUAUUUCAGAAUUCUCUUUUAAUAUUUGUUGUAAUCUUGUAUCUACAGAUGGUUUUAUGAAUCUCCAGGGUGGUACAGUUGGUAUCGCGAUAAUGGGGCUCACUUGUAGCUGACUGAGACCCGCAUUUUGUGCCUUUGCAUUUCCUAACCAUCCGAAGCUAUUAAAGUUAGUCCUAUAAAACUCUGAGCAUUCUUGUAAGAUGGCUUUCGUGGGGUGCACCCUGAUAUACCCUUGUAGAUUUACCCAAUAUGCCAGCAUGAUCUUAACCCUCCUGAUACACAGCGGCAUCCCUCCUGUCUCCACCUGUAAUGCAGUCACUGGUGAUGAUUUAAAUGCUCUAGUACAGAUCCUGAGUGCCUGUGCCUGUUCCACAUCGAGCUUUUUAAGAUUUGAUUGUGAUGAAGACAACAUGUCAGCAUGUAAUGCCGACAUGUACUGUGACAUACCGAAGCACAGCAUGAUCAGUAUGCAGUAUUCCAGCAUGAUAACGACCCCAAACACACGUCCAAGAUGACCACUGCCUUGCUAAAGCAGCUGAGGGUGAAGGUGAUGCACUGGCCAAGCAUGUCUCCAGACCUAAACCCUAUUGAGCCUCUGUGGGGCAUCCUCAAACGGAAGGUGGAGGAGCACAAGGUCUCUAACAUCCACCAGCUCCGUGAUGUGGUCAUGGAGGAGUGGAAGAGGACUCCAGUGGAACCUGUGAAGCUCUGAUGAACUCCAUGCCCAAGAGGGUUAAGGCAGUGCUGGGAAAUAAUGGUGGCCACACAAAAUAUUCACACUUUGGGCCCAAUGUGGAAAUUUUCACUCAGGGGUGUACUCACUUUUGUUGCCAGCGGUUUAGACAUUAAUGGCUGUGUGUUGAGUUAUUUUGAGGGGAUGGUAAAUUUACACUGUUACACAAGCUGUACAAUCACUACUUUACACUGUAGCACAGUGUCAUUUCUUCAGUGUGUCACAUGAAAAUAUUUCAUCAGAUAUUUACAAAAAUGUGAGGGGUGCACUCACUUUUGUGAGAUACUGUAUAUGCUAGGCAGUCAUAAUCACAGGCAGCUCUCAUAAGAGCCUGAUAGAUAUUUCUUCUUGCUCCCCAGUCUCGCCCUGACAGAAAUCUCAGAACAUUAUUAAUCUUUUUACAUUUGUUUUUAAUUUUAUCAAUAUGCAGAUCCCAGGUCAGCUUCUCAUCAAAAAUCACUCCUAAAAAUCUCACAGCCGUGACCUGUUCAAGAUAUAAGACAUAUGAUAGCCCAUAUCAUUUAAGUGGUACUGUUUUAUGACGUUUAGGGAAACAUAUAUCUUGUGAUUUUGCAAUUAACAGUUUAAAUCCCCAUUCAUUUGCCAACGGUUCUACUUUCCCUAUUGCAUGUUGCAUUUUCUUUCUUAAAUAUUCUAUAUCCCGACCCCUAACCCAGAGUGCCCCAUAAAGAGUGCCGCAUAAAGAGAGACUUUUUUGGCCAGCAGUGGUUUCACACCAUUUUUAUGCAGUAUUUUUCCUGACAGUGGAGACAUGAACAAAGACUUUUGCAGGUUGUAGAGUUUGCUGCAGGUUUUUUGCUGUUACCCCCGGGUUCUUUCUCACCUCUUUCAGGAUUUCCCUUUGUGCUCUUGGUGUGAUCUUUGAAGGAAACCCACUCCUAGAGAGAGUAUCAACAGUCGUGAAUUUCCUCCAUUUGCAGACAGAGUCUUAUCAUGGAUUGAUGAACACCCAGGUCUUUAAAAUGCUUGUGUAGUCUCUUCCAGCUUCGUGCAUCUCUAUAAUGUCAUCUAGGAUCCUGUGAAAGUCGAUGGGAUCGAGGCAUGGUUCACACUAAGCAACUGUUCUUGAGAACAACAGAUUUGUAAGUAACCAGACUUUGUGUCUCUUUACAUGAAGGGCAAAACACCCGUACUUCCAAUCUGAUUCCCAGGAAAGACCUUAUUCCACCUGAAGGCUUGCUGUUGAUGCCAGGGACUGCGGGGCAGGUCUGGUCCUCCUGCAGGCCGGCCCAGAUGGAAUUGACCAGCCAGUUUGUUUUUAUAAAAGAAUUCCACCAGCAUCAGUGAGUUUAUUCCACCAUAGAGAAAGAGUUCCCGGUCCCAGCACUCCAACAUUUUGGAGAGUAUUUGGGGUCAUUAUCUAACCCCAUCCAGGUUUAAACAGACCACUUGACUUCAUCAACAGGAUACGGAAUCAGAACUGAUAAUGAGCUCUUUCUAGCUCUCUGUUUUCCUAGGGCCCAGGAGGACCAAAAAGCUGUAAUGGAACUGCAGGAGGUGUGAGGUGUUACGACCCCCAGCACUCUCUCCGGUCCUGAUAUCAGUGCAGUAGCAGUCUGGGUGGCCAAUCAGUUUAGACCUACAUGUGGAGGUGUUUGGGUAUAACGGGGGGGACGCGUCCGCUUCCUCUCUCUCUCUCUCUCGCACGCUUACACACGCACAUGUGCACACUGACACUCACUCAGUCAGACAUCCUCAUACUCCCUCAUUAGACAUCCUCGAGGUGACGAUCUAUAUUUACAUUUAUAAUAAAAAUAAACUGUUUGCAAAGA